rnacentral:rRNA from 1 species
GACGAACGCUGGCGGCGUGCUUAACACAUGCAAGUCGAACGGUAAGGCCCUUCGGGGUACACGAGUGGCGAACGGGUGAGUAACACGUGGGUGAUCUGCCCUGCACUUCGGGAUAAGCCUGGGAAACUGGGUCUAAUACCGGAUAGGACCACUGCCUGCAUGGGUGGUGGUGGAAAGCUUUUGCGGUGUGGGAUGGGCCCGGGGCCUAUCAGCUUGUUGGUGGGGUGAUGGCCUACCAAGGCGACGACGGGUAGCCUGCCUGAGAGGGUGACCGGCCACACCGGGACUGGGAUUCGGCACAGACUCUGACGGGUCGCAUGAGGGGGGUAUAUUGCUAAAUGGGCGCUAUCCUGAUGCAGCGCCGCCACGUGGGGGAUGACGUCCUUCGGGUUGUAGUCCUCGUUCAGCACCAGUGAAUCGCAAGUGACGGUAGGUGCAGAAGAAGGACCGGCCAACUACGUGCCAGCCGCCGCCGUAACAC